GAUGAACGCUAGCGGCAGGCAUAAUACAUGCAAGUUGAACGGGAUUCAGAUAGCAAUAUUUGAUGAGAGUGGCGCACGGGUGCGUAACACGUAUGCAACUUACCUUAAACUGGGAGAUAGCCCGUGGAAACAUGGAUUAAUAUCCCAUAGUAUAAAGAACAGGCAUUUGUUUUAUAUUAAAGCUCCGGCGGUUUAAGAUGGGCAUGCGCGUCAUUAGCUAGAUGGAGAGGUAACGGCUCACCAUGGCAACGAUGACUAGGGGGUCUGAGAGGAUGUCCCCCCACACUGGUACUGAGACACGGACCAGACUCCUACGGGAGGCGGCAGUAGGGAAUAUUGGGCAAUGGACGCAAGUCUGACCCAGCCAUGCCGCGUGCAGGAAGACGGCCCUCUGGGUUGUAAACUGCUUUUAUCAGGGAAGAAACCCUUCUACGUGUAGGAGGCUGACGGUACCUGAGGAAUAAGGAUCGGCUAACUCCGUGCCAGC
rnacentral:rRNA from 1 species